GGGCCGCGGGCGCUGAGGGCCGUGCCCCCCGUGUGGCGCAGGCAUUGAGGAGCUGUGCGCGCGGCGGGACGAGCUGGGCCGGCAGAUCGCGCGCGAGGAGGAGGAGAAGGCCAAGCUGCAGAGUGACAUCCGGCUGCUGACCGAGCGCCUGGCCCGCCUCAACGAGGGGCUGGCCCGCAAGAUGGCCACGCGCAACGAGUUCGAGCGCACCAUCGCCGAGACCGAGGCGGCCUACGGCAAGAUCCUGGAAAGUUCCCAGACACUGCUAAAUGUCCUGAAGAAGGAAGCGGGGAAUCUGAGCAGAGCCACAGAGCCAAAAAGCAGUGUUGUAAAAGAGAGCUGAGCACAUGGACUCACACAUUCCUAAAGUCUCUCGCUUGGACUGAGGGGAGCUGCUAUCAUUUUGGUAUAUGUAGAGGAAACAAUGUCCAGUAAAAUAUUCAUUUUGCACAA